rnacentral:rRNA from 1 species
CUACGGGGGGCAGCAGUGAGGAAUAUUGCACAAUGGGGGGAACCCUGAUGCAGCAACGCCGCGUGGAGGAUGACACCUUUCGGAGCGUAAACUCCUUUUAUAUAGGAAGAAGAUGACGGUACUAUAUGAAUAAGCGCCGGCUAACUCCGUGCCAGCAGCCGCGGUAAUACGGAGGGCGCAAGCGUUACUCGGAAUCACUGGGCGUAAAGAGCGUGUAGGCGGAUUAAAAAGUCAGAAGUGAAAUCCUAUAGCUUAACCAUAGAACUGCUUCUGAAACUCUUAAUCUAGAAUAUGGGAGAGGUAGAUGGAAUUUCUGGUGUAGGGGUAAAAUCCGUAGAGAUCAGAAGGAAUACCGAUUGCGAAGGCGAUCUACUAGAACAUUAUUGACGCUGAGACGCGAAAGCGUGGGGAGCAAACAGGAUUAGAUACCCCCGUAGUC